CCGACACGUACCCUGGCUGC
rnacentral:misc_RNA from 1 species